CUACGGAAGAAAGUGGGGGAUCUUCGGACCUCAUGCUUUUGGAGCGGCCGAUGUCUGAUUAGCUGAUGCUUAGUUGGUGAGGUAAAGGCUCACCAAGGCGACGAUCAGUAGCUGGUCUGAGAGGACGACCAGCCACACUGGGACUGAGACACGGCCCAGACUCCUACGGGAGGCAGCAAUCGGGAAUUUUGGACAAUGGGCGCAAGCCUGAUCCAGCAAUGCCGCGUGAGUGAAGAAGGCCUUCGGGUUGUAAAGCUCUUUUGUCAGGGAAGAAACGGCUGAGGAUAAUACCUUCGGCUAAUGACGGUACCUGAAGAAUAAGCACCGGCUAACUACGUGCCAGCAGCCGCGGUAAUACGUAGGGUGCAAGCGUUAAUCGGAAUUACUGGGCGUAAAGCGUGCGCAGGCGGUUUUGUAAGUCUGACGUGAAAUCCCCGGGCUCAACCUGGGAAUUGCGUUGGAGACUGCAAGGCUGGAGUCUGGCAGAGGGGGGUAGAAUUCCACGUGCUGAAGUGAAAUGCGUAGAGAUGUGGAGGAACACCGAUGGCGAAGGCAGCCCCCUGGGUCAAGACUGACGCUCAUGCACGAAAGCGUGGGGAGCAAACAGGAUUGCUGACCCUGGUAGUCCACGCCCUAAACGAUGUCUACUAGUUGUCGGGUCUUAAUUGACUUGGUAACGCAGCUAACGCGUGAAGUAGACCGCCUGGGGAGUACAAUCGCAAGAUUAAAACUCAAAGGAAUUGACGGGGACCCGCACAAGCGGUGGAUGAUGUGGAUUAGCUUCGUCGGU
rnacentral:rRNA from 1 species